rnacentral:rRNA from 1 species
UCGGGAAUUUUGGGCAAUGGGCGAAAGCCUGACCCAGCAACGCCGCGUGAAGGAUGAAGUAUUUCGGUAUGUAAACUUCGAAAGAAUAGGAAGAAUAAAUGACGGUACUAUUUAUAAGGUCCGGCUAACUACGUGCCAGCAGCCGCGGUAAUACGUAGGGUGCAAGCGUUAAUCGGAAUUACUGGGCGUAAAGCGUGCGCAGGCGGUUGUGUAAGUCAGAUGUGAAAUCCCCGGGCUCAACCUGGGAAUUGCAUUUGAGACUGCAUGGCUAGAGUGUGUCAGAGGGGGUAGAAUUCCACGUGUAGCAGUGAAAUGCGUAGAUAUGUGGAGGAAUACCGAUGGCGAAGGCAGCCCCCUGGGAUAACACUGACGCUCAUGCACGAAAGCGUGGGGAGCAAACAGGAUUAGAUACCCUAGUAGUCCCUGAGCGGGCUGGCAAGGCGCAU